AAGCAAAAUGCACUUAAAGUUUGACUCCCCGAAACUAAGCGAGCUACCUUAAAACAGCUUAUAGAGCCAACUCAUCCCUGUUGCAAAAGAGUGAGAAGAUUUUAAAGUAGAGGUGACACACCUACCGAGCUUAGAGAUAGCUGGUUAUUCAAAAAACGGAUUUAAGUCCAACUUUAAGUUUCCCCAGUGCCAUUAAACGCCCCCUAAACUUAAGAGCUAUUCAAAUAAGGUACAGCCUAUUUGAACAAGGAGACAACCUACAAUACAGGGUAAUGUUUUCUAACGUGACCAAGUAGGCUUAAAAGCAGCCACCUUCUAAAAAGCGUCCAAGCUUCCCCCACCCCCACCCCAGUUUUUAUCUAUCCCCCCAUUUACUCACAACCCUCAACUUCUACUGAAUGACCCCAUACCGUAUGGGAAACAUUAUGCUAGAACUAGUAAUAAGAAGACGAACUUCUCCAAAAUGCAAGCGUAAGCCAAAAUAAACCCCUUAUCGGCACUUACCGCCCAACUAAAAGUAUCCUUUUCUCUAGAAAACCCUACUAACUCAGGCGCUAACCUUACACCAGAGCAUUCCUGGAAAGAUUAAAAGAAGGGGAAGGAACUCGGCAAAUCCCA
rnacentral:rRNA from 1 species